rnacentral:rRNA from 1 species
UAGGGAAUUUUCGUCAAUGGGCGCAAGCCUGAACGAGCAAUGCCGCGUGAACGAGGAAGGUCUUCGGAUCGUAAAGUUCUGUUGAAGGGGAAAAAGAGCGGAGAGAGGAAAUGGUCUCCGAUUGAUAUUACCCUUCGAGGAAGUCACGGCUAACUACGUGCCAGCAGCCGCUGUAAUCUCUCUCU